UGGGGAAUAUUGCACAAUGGGCGAAAGCCUGAUGCAGCAACGCCGCGUUAGCGAUGAAGGCCUUCGGGUCGUAAAGCUCUGUCCUCAAGGAAGAUAAUGACGGUACUUGAGGAGGAAGCCCCGGCUAACUACGUGCCAGCAGCCGCGGUAAUACGUAGGGGGCUAGCGUUAUCCGGAAUUACUGGGCGUAAAGGGUGCGUAGGUGGUUUCUUAAGUCAGAGGUGAAAGGCUACGGCUCAACCGUAGUAAGCCUUUGAAACUGGGAAACUUGAGUGCAGGAGAGGAGAGUGGAAUUCCUAGUGUAGCGGUGAAAUGCGUAGAUAUUAGGAGGAACACCGGUGGCGAAGGCGGGUCUCUGGGCCGUAACUGACGCUGAGGAGCGAAAGCAUGGGGAGCGAACA
rnacentral:rRNA from 1 species